AUUGAACGCUGGCGGCAUGCCUUACACAUGCAAGUCGAACGGCAGCGCGGGAGCAAUCCUGGCGGCGAGUGGCGAACGGGUGAGUAAUAUAUCGGAACGUGCCCUAGAGUGGGGGAUAAC
rnacentral:rRNA from 1 species